rnacentral:lncRNA from 1 species
CAGCCGGAGGAUCAUGGAGCUCGGCGUCGGCAUCACGCCGGCAAGCCAGUGUCUCUACGACAUCGUCAUCAGCCUUCAGGACAAGGGCAUCUUACCCCGUCGCGGUGCUGAUAUGUCCUGACAACUUCAUGGCCACGCACCUUGGUUAAAUUAGCUGCGUGCCCGUUUGAUGAUUGCAAGUCGUGGCAUUGUAUUCCCUAUUUCGUCCUUAUUUGUUCACCAAUUAAUACUUGUCGCCAUUAAAUCUCACGUCGAGUAGCGCAGGUUCAUGAGCCUAUGGCAAAAUGCAUAGCACUAGUGGCAGGGGCGCGCCCUUGAUGCGUCUCUUAGGCGUGGCUGUCACUUGUAGAAAACGGGCCUUUGGCCUGGACCCUUUAGUCCCGGCCUGCCUUUCGGCCGGGACUAAAGGCCCGGGCACGUCGCCCCAAUUCUCAUAUCCUCCCUCGAGGCUUUAGUCCCGGCCCGUAAGGAGCCUUUAGUUCCGGUUCGUGUCCCAAGCCGGGACUAAAGGGCUACGCGGUGGGCAGUCCGCAUGUGCGCCACCUUUAGUCCCGGUUUAUGUCUCAAACCGGGACUAAAGUCAUCUGCUUAUAUAUAGCACAACCCCCCUCUCCCCUCUUCAUUGCAUUUUUCUUGGAUGGAGCAUUGUGGGUGGGUGCUUGCUCUCCACUUUUUU